CUGAGACAGGUGCUGCAUGGCUGUCGUCAGCUCGUGUUGUGAAAUGUUGGGUUAAGUCCCGCAACGAGCGCAACCCUUAUCCUUGUUUGCCAGCGAGUAAUGUCGGGAACUCCAGGGAGACUGCCGGUGAUAAACCGGAGGAAGGUGGGGACGACGUCAAGUCAUCAUGGCCCUUACGAGUAGGGCUACACACGUGCUACAAUGGCGCAUACAGAGGGCGGCCAACUUGCGAAAGUGAGCGAAUCCCAAAAAGUGCGUCGUAGUCCGGAUUGGAGUCUGCAACUCGACUCCAUGAAGUCGGAAUCGCUAGUAAUCGUGGAUCAGAAUGCCACGGUGAAUACGUUCCCGGGUCUUGUACACAC
rnacentral:rRNA from 1 species